UUAUAAAAAAAAUAAUAAUAAUCUUUGGGCAAAAAAAAAAAACUUCGUUAGGUUAGCAAAUGCUGUUAUGCUAUUUUUUCAUCUUUUCCUUUAAAGGUUAAGGUACAAUAUCAAGAGCCAGCCCUGAUUGGCUGCUUGAUUUUCAAAUUAAAAGAACGUCCAGUUGGCGGUCUUUCUUUCGGCGGAGACGAAGUCAUAGCACGUAACAGGGCAGUAAAAUCAGCAGUGUAAUAUUUGCAGUGUUAAAAGUUAUUAAUUCCCAAAGAUUUGAAUUAACAAUCCACAGUGUUAAACAGUACUCGUGUUCAGUGUUGUUAUAUGGUGUAAUUUCACUUUUACACUAAAAGUGCGAAAUAAAAGACCCGCCGAAUUGUCUGGACUCCGCCCUUCAGUGACUGCUGCCUCGCGAAGCGACAACGCCAUCUUUUCUUCGAGCGACCGAGACGUUGGUCGUCCUCUCGCCUCUGUUCCCUCCUCGGCCUGGGGUUACUGCGAAUCUGGCGCUGAAGACUGAAGCUGCUAACGUUAUAUUCGAAGCCUCAGAAGACCUUCAAGGAUCCAGUUGACCUCUGAAUCAGCUGUUAAGAAGUAUGAAACAGAUUGUCUAAGUUUAGGCUCUAUUUCA
ensembl:lncRNA